rnacentral:rRNA from 1 species
AUCCUGGCUCAGGAUGAACGCUAGCGGCAGGCUUAACACAUGCAAGUCGAGGGGUAUAGUUCUUCGGAACUAGAGACCGGCGCACGGGUGCGUAACGCGUAUGCAAUCUACCUUUUACAGAGGGAUAGCCCAGAGAAAUUUGGAUUAAUACCUCAUAGUAUGUGAGAAUCGCAUGGUUUUCACAUUAAAGUUCCAACGGUAAAAGAUGAGCAUGCGUCCCAUUAGCUAGAUGGUAAGGUAACGGCUUACCAUGGCGACGAUGGGUAGGGGUCCUGAGAGGGAGAUCCCCCACACUGGUACUGAGACACGGACCAGACUCCUACGGGAGGCAGCAGUGAGGAAUAUUGGACAAUGGGCGCAAGCCUGAUCCAGCCAUGCCGCGUGCAGGAUGACGGUCCUAUGGAUUGUAAACUGCUUUUGUACAGGAAGAAACACUCCCUCGUGAGGGAGCUUGACGGUACUGUAAGAAUAAGGAUCGGCUAACUCCGUG